rnacentral:tRNA from 1 species
ACGGUACGGACUUAAAUCCGUCGACUUUAGAAAUCGUGAGGGUUCAAGUCCCUCUAUCCCCA